AUUGAACGCUGGCGGUAUGCUUAACACAUGCAAGUCGAACGGUAGCAGGCCUUCGGGCGCUGACGAGUGGCGGACGGGUGAGUAACGCGUAGGAAUCUGCCUGGUAGUGGGGGACAACGUGGGGAAACUCACGCUAAUACCGCAUACGUUCCCUAUUGAAAGAUGGGGAGGAAAGCGGGGGCUCUUCGGACCUCGCGCUAUCAGAUGAGCCUGCGUUAGAUUAGCUAGUUGGUGAGGUAAUGGCUCACCAAGGCGACGAUCCGUAACUGGUCUGAGAGGAUGAUCAGUCACACUGGAACUGAGACACGGUCCAGACUCCUACGGGUGGCUG
rnacentral:rRNA from 1 species